rnacentral:rRNA from 1 species
AUUGAACGCUAGCGGGAUGCUUUACACAUGCAAGUCGAACGAGUGGCGGACGGGUGAGGUAUAUAUCGGAACGUGCCCAGUAGCGGGGGAUAACUACUCGAAAGAGUGGCUAAUACCGCAUACUAUUGGAGCGGCCGAUAUCGGAUGAGCGAGGUGGUGGGGGAAAGGCGCACCAAGGCAACGAUUCGUAGCUGGUAUGAGAGGACGACCAGCCACACUGGUACUGAGACACGGCCCAGACUCCUACGGUAGGCAGGAGUGGGGAAGUUUGGACAAUGGGGGAAACCCUGAUCCAGCCAUCCCGCGUGUAUGAGAAGGCCUUCGGGUUGUAAAGUACUUUCAGUCGGGAGGCGUUACCGACAGACGAAGCACCGGCUAACUCCGUGCCAGCAGCCGCGGUAAUAC